CAGGAACACAGGGGCGACAAAGGGCUCCCCACCAAACCCUAGUUCUUGUCAAAAUUGAUCAAAUUGGAAGUUCUAAUCUGUUCCAAAUCAAUUUCCAAGCACAAAUUAGUGAUCCCCUCUGAAAAAGGAUCAUAAGGCAAGGAAAUAGGAACGUUAAGUGGACGAGCUAGUGGCGAUACGCGUUUGAAGGGAGCGCUUUAAAGGUGAUGUUGGAACUAACCGGAAGAUGAUCGAGCCAGCUUUUGAAGAACCGAACACUAUUUACAAGCUUCCGCAAUGUUUUAAACCUUAAUAGAUUAUGUUUAUGAAUUAUAAACAAAUUGUUAAACAACUUUUGGA